AGUGAACGCUGGCGGCAGGCUUAACACAUGCAAGUCGAGCGGAGAUGAGGUGCUUGCACCUUAUCUUAGCGGCGGACGGGUGAGUAAUGCUUAGGAAUCUGCCUAUUAGGGGGGGACAACAUUCCGAAAGGAAUGCUAAUACCGCAUACGUCCUACGGGAGAAAGCAGGGGAUCUGCGGACCUUGCGCUAAUAGAUGAGCCUAAGGCGGAUUAGCUAGUUGGUGGGGUAAAGGCCUACCAAGGCGACGAUAUGUAGCGGGUCUGAGAGGAGGAGCCGCCACACUGGGACUGAGACACGGCCCAGACUCCUACGGGAGGCAGCAGUGGGGAAUAUUGGACAAUGGGGGGAACCCUGAUCCAGCCAUGCCGCGUGUGUGAAGAAGGCCUUAUGGUUGUAAAGCACUUUAAGCGAGGAGGAGGCUACUGAGACUAAUACUCUUGGAUAGUGGACGUUACUCGCAGAAUAAGCACCGGCUAACUCUGUGCCAGCCGCCGCCGUAA
rnacentral:rRNA from 1 species